rnacentral:rRNA from 1 species
GAGUUUGAUCUUGGCUCAGAUUGAACGCUGGCGGCGUGCUUAACACAUGCAAGUCGAGCGGUAACAGGCGUAGCAAUACGUGCUGACGAGCGGCGAACGGGUGCGUAAUACAUGGGAAUCUGCCCUUUGGUGGGGAAUAACCCGGCGAAAGCCGGGCUAAUGCCGCAUGAGAUCUUCGGAUGAAAGCGGGGGAUCGUAAGACCUCGCGCCGAUGGAUGAGCCCAUGUCGGAUUAGCUAGUUGGUGAGGUAACGGCUCACCAAGGCGACGAUCCGUAGCUGGUCUGAGAGGACGGCCAGCCACACUGGGACUGAGACACGGCCCAGACUCCUACGGGAGGCAGCAGUGGGGAAUAUUGGACAAUGGGCGAAAGCCUGAUCCAGCGACGCCGCGUGUGUGAAGAAGGCCUGCGGGUUGUAAAGCACUUUCGAUGGGAACGAAAUGUGCCGGGCUAAUACCCCGGCAAGCUGACGUUACUCAAUGAAGAAGACACCGGCUAACU